GAGUUUGAUUAUGGCUCAGGACGAACGCUGGCGGCGUGCCUAAUACAUGCAAGUAGAACGCUGAAGGAAUAGCUUGCUAUUCUGGAAGAGUUGCGAACGGGUGAGUAACGCGUAGGUAACCUACCUCAUAGCGGGGGAUAACUAUUGGAAACGAUAGCUAAUACCGCAUAAGAAUACUUAUUGCAUGAUAAGUAUUUAAAAGGAACAACAGUUUCACUGUGAGAUGGACCUGCGUUGUAUUAGCUAGUUGGUAAGGUAACGGCUUACCAAGGCGACGAUACAUAGCCGACCUGAGAGGGUGAUCGGCCACACUGGGACUGAGACACGGCCCAGACUCCUACGGGAGGCAGCAGUAGGGAAUCUUCGGCAAUGGGGGCAACCCUGACCGAGCAACGCCGCGUGAGUGAAGAAGGUUUUCGGAUCGUAAAGCUCUGUUGUCAGCCAAGAAUGUAUGUGAGAGUGGAAAGUUCACAUAG
rnacentral:rRNA from 1 species